GUGAGAGACCUUGUCUUUCAAAGCAAAAAAUAAAAAGGGAAAGGGCAUGGAGAGAUGGUGCUCUGAAUACGGCGCUUGCUACUCAUGCUUAACUCAGGUUAAAACAAACAAAAACAAGCGCAGUAGAGCAUGGCAUGAUCCUAGCCUCAGAAGGGCAGGGAGAAGAGAGUCAGUCCUGUGGCUUGCUGGCCAGCUUGUCUAGUGAGUAAGGUCUGUGUCAGAGAUAUUUCUCUAAAAAUGAAGUAGACAAGUAUCCCUGAGAAAUGAUACGUGAGGCUAUCCCUCAUUUCUGUCUGCAUGCGCUCACACUCGAUUUCAUGCUGAGAUCACGUGAACAACUGAACCAGCACUGAACAGCACUGUCUUAUGUUCAAGGCGAGUUCCCUGUUCAGCGCCAUACUUUCCUCACCACUGAGGAACCGUCUCCUUCAAUUUGCUCUGGUAUAUGGUUCUGUAGUUAGGUUAUUUCCUGCCAAAAUUUAGAAGUUGGGAUUUUCUUGUACUUAAUAUUUUGUUAUUUUGUAUUUAAUUGAUUAGGCUAGUAUCUUAUAUAGUUACAAAUGAAAAUUCUCAAGUAUUAGAGCAAUGACUCCACAGUUAAGAGCACACACUGCUCUUCCAGAGAACCUCAGUUUGGUUCCCAGCACCCAGGUUGGGCAGCUCACAACUGCCUAUAAUUCCAGUGCCAGAGAAUCCAGUGCCUUGUUUUGGUCUCUGAGGGAGGAUACCUGUACACAUGUGGCAGUUACUCAUGCUGUUAAACACACUUGAAUAAGAAUACUAAUCUGUAAAAUAUUCUGAAGAAAAAUCAUAUUUUUCCUGCAUUUUGAAUAAAUGGAUUUGCUCU
rnacentral:lncRNA from 1 species